GCUUGGGUGGCUCAGUCGGUUGAGCGUCUGACUUCGGCUCAGGCCAUGAUCUCAUGGUUCGUGGGUUCAAGCCCCGUGUCAGGCU
rnacentral:tRNA from 1 species